UACGUAGGGGGCGAGCGUUGUCCGGAUUUAUUGGGCGUAAAGAGCUCGUAGGCGGUCUGUCGCGUCCGUUGUGAAAACUCGAGGCUCAACCUCGGGCUUGCAGUGGAUACGGGCAGACUAGAGUGCGGUAGGGGAGACUGGAAUUCCUGGUGUAGCGGUGGAAUGCGCAGAUAUCAGGAGGAACACCGGUGGCGAAGGCGGAUCUCUGGGCCAUUACUGACGCUGAGGAGCGAAAGCGUGGGGAGCGAACAGG
rnacentral:rRNA from 1 species